rnacentral:rRNA from 1 species
AACGAACGCUGGCGGCAUGCCUAACACAUGCGAGUCGAACGAGAUCUUCGGGUCUAGUGGCGCACGGGUGCGUAACGCGUGGGAAUCUGCCCUUUGGUUCGGAAUAACAGUUGGAAACGACUGCUAAUACCGGAUGAUGACGAAAGUCAAAAGAUUUAUCGCCAGAGGAUGAGCCCGCGUAGGAUUAGCUAGUUGGUGUGAGAAAGGCGCACCAAGGCGACGAUCCUUGGCUGGGCUGAGAGGAUGAUCAGCCACACUGGGACUGAGAAACGGCCCAGACUCCGACGGGAGGCAGCAGUGGGGAAUAUUGGACAAUGGGCGAAAGCCUGAUCCAGCAAUGCCGCGUGAGUGAUGAAGGCCUUAGGGUUGUAAAGCUCUUUUACCCGGGAUGAUAAUGACAGUACCGGGAGAAUAAGCUCCGGCUAACUCCGUGCCAGCAGCCGCCGUAA